AAAAAGAUAAGCUAAACAAAGCUUGCGGGCUCAUACCCCGUCUAUGGAACUAAUUUCUCUUUUUA
rnacentral:tRNA from 1 species